UUAUUUGAGAGUUUGAUCCUGGCUCAGGAUGAACGCUGGCGGCGUGCCUAACACAUGCAAGUUGAGCGAUUUACUUCGGUAAAGAGCGGCGGACGGGUGAGUAACGCGUGGGUAACCUACCCUGUACACACGGAUAACAUACCGAAAGGUAUGCUAAUACGGGAUAAUAUAUUUGAGAGGCAUCUCUUAAAUAUCAAAGGUGAGCCGGUACAGGAUGGACCCGCGUCUGAUUAGCUAGUUGGUAAGGUAACGGCUUA
rnacentral:rRNA from 1 species